GACUGUGAAUGGAGUUGAGGAUGCCAAGUAUGAUGACAAUAACGGAGGAUUCAAUGGAGGAGGUCGUGCUAGUAAUGGAGGAUCAGGAGGGCGUGCCAGUAAUGGAGGGUCAGGAGGGCGUGGUGGUAAUGAAGGAUCAGGAGGGCGUGGUGGUAAUGGAGGAGGAGGAGGGCGUGGUGGUAAUGGAGGAGGAGGAGGCCGUGGCGGUAAUGGAGGCGGAGGAAGCCGUGGUGGAAGUAAGAAUUGUCGCCAUGGUGUUUGCUGUGGUAGGCGAGGAAAUUGCGGAUGCUGCUAAAUAGUUAAUAUCUAUAGACCAAAUAUAAUCUGAAGACGGCUAUUAUUAUAUUUGAGAAUAAAAAAGCAUAUGUAUGUAGUCAGUAGUCUUGCCGCGCUAAGAGCUCCAAUCUGUUCUUGCAUUGAGUCUGGUAGAAAGCUUGUGAUCAUGUGUUCAUGAACUGUUCCCAGAGUUUAAUAAAAUGGUUGCCGUUUUAAUUGAACUUUAAAG
rnacentral:lncRNA from 1 species